UACGUAGGGGGCAAGCGUUGUCCGGAUUUAUUGGGCGUAAAGAGCGUGUAGGCGGCCAUGUAGGUCCGUUGUGAAAACUCGAGGCUCAACCUCGAGACGCCGAUGGAAACCAUGUGGCUAGAGUCCGGAAGAGGAGAGUGGGAAUUCCUGGUGUAGCGGUGAAAUGCGUAGAUAUCAGGAAGAACACCCGUGGCUAAGGCGGCUCUCUAGUACGGUACUGACGCUGAGACGCGAAAGCGUGGGGAGCGAACAGG
rnacentral:rRNA from 1 species